rnacentral:tRNA from 1 species
GGAAGUGGAAGCACAUCUGGUGAUGGCCACGGUCUUCAAAACCGCUGAGCUGGGCGUGAACCGUCCGGUUGGUGGGUUCGAUUCCCAUACACUUCCGC